GGCCCAGACUCCUACGGGAGGCAGCAGUGGGGAAUAUUGCACAAUGGGGGAAACCCUGAUGCAGCGACGCCGCGUGAGCGAUGAAGUAUUUCGGUAUGUAAAGCUCUAUCAGCAGGGAAGAAGAUGACGGUACCUGACUAAGAAGCCCCGGCUAACUACGUGCCAGCAGCCGCGGUAAUACGUAGGGGGCAAGCGUUAUCCGGAAUUACUGGGCGUAAAGGGCGCGUAGGUGGGCGCUUAAGUCAGGUGUGAAAACUCCGGGCUCAACCUGGAGACUGCACUUGAAACUGGGUGUCUUGAGGGCAGGAGAGGAAAGUGGAAUUCCUAGUGUAGCGGUGAAAUGCGUAGAUAUUAGGAGGAACACCAGUGGCGAAGGCGGUCUGCUGGACAGCAACUGACGCUGAGGCGCGAAAGCGUGGGGAGCAAACAGGAUUAGAUACCCCAGUAU
rnacentral:rRNA from 1 species